rnacentral:lncRNA from 1 species
GAGAUUCAUCUAAUUCCUAAUCAAUGAGAAAGUUAGUUCAUGAUUAAGAAUAGAGUAACAAUGAAUAAGAUGAAAUUACACAUAAGAAAGAUGAAAUUAAUCUUCACUUAUUGCUUCCAAGAGUGUGACAUUCAAGUUCCUAGCCACCAAAACAUGCCUAUAUGAUCUUCAAUGCCAUGUAGGUCAUGACACUUACGAAAUUUGAGUUUUAAGCUUAAUUAGGGUCCAAAAAUGUGUGUUAGUGCCAUGCUAGCAAGUCUAGGCGCAAUGCUCUCAUCUGGGCAGAAAGAAGUGACAUGAAAAGCAUUUAGACACAUGGGUGGGCGCAAUGUUCUACGGUGUUGAAUAAACACUUUUCUUCUUCCAAAAUCAUUAUCCCUCUUGUUUGACUUACACUUUCACCCUUUUACAUUUCAAAUUAGAUUUCAAUAUCUUCAUGAAAAUUGUAACUAUGCAUGUUAGAUUUCAUUUACAACAAAUGUGAAUAUAUUUGAACAUCUACAGCUUC